GGCUCUACCACAUUCUGAAACGAGUCAACACGCACCAACAGUAGAGAUAACAUACUAUCCUACACACAACAAAUGGUGUCCAGUUGCGGUCCUAGAUUCCUACCUUCAAAAAUCCUUCAAGGAAUUAAAUACCAUAAUGCAUUUAAGGAAAUGUCUGGUUAAUUUGUAUAUAUUGUUGACUGUAUUAAAUCUUUGAUUAUUCUUUUUGCCCUCUUUAUUUACAGGCCUACCGUAUC